rnacentral:rRNA from 1 species
GAUGAACGCUGGCGGCGUGCCUAAUACAUGCAAGUCGAGCGAACGGACGAGAAGCUUGCUUCUCUGAUGUUAGCGGCGGACGGGUGAGUAACACGUGGAUACCUACCUAUAAGACUGGGAUAACUUCGGGAAACCGGAGCUAAUACCGGAUAAUAUUUUGAACCGCAUGGUUCAAAAGUAAAAGACGGUCUUGCUGUCACUUAUAGAUGGAUCCGCGCUGCAUUAGCUAGUUGGUAAGGUAACGGCUUACCAAGGCAACGAUGCAUAGCCGACCUGAGAGGGUGAUCGGCCACACUGGAACUGAGACACGGUCCAGACUCCUACGGGAGGCAGCAGUAGGGAAUCUUCCGCAAUGGGCGAAAGCCUGACGGAGCAACGCCGCGUGAGUGAUGAAGGUCUUCGGAUCGUAAAACUCUGUUAUUAGGGAAGAACAUAUGUGUAAGUAACUGUGCACAUCUUGACGGUACCUAAUCAGAAAGCCACGGCUAACUACGUG